rnacentral:lncRNA from 1 species
AAGGCCGGAGAGCCACCGCGUGGAAGAGGCUCUACCUCUGGUCUUUUGUUUCAUUCGAAACAAGGGAGUGAAGGAGGGGCUCCGCCUCCGAUCUUCUGUUUCAUUCAGAACAAGAGCCAAAGGGGCCCUUUUUUUUGUGAUUUUUUAGUAAAAGUUAGAAAACCUCUUCUCUCUCUUCCUCUCUCCCACUCUCAUUCUCCCUCCCCCC